UAAAUCUGUCUUUUAAAGACCAUUCCAAAACUUAUGCUUUUAUCAUAAAACAAUUUAUUGGUAAUUUAUUUUGAAUUAUUCUUCUGUUUUUCUCCUUGUAAGUGUAUUUCCCCAAUGUGUUACUCUGACAUGCCCCAUGUUGGUAACUGACCGUUAUUAACUAUUGAUUUAUACCAAUAAUUCGUUUUGUUCCCUACUGCAGAACUCAUUUUGUUUCUACAUCAUGUGAGGCUUUAUUAAAGAUGUACCUAGUGGUUUUUUAAAAGCACAGUUUUUACUACCAUGUGCGUCUAGUCACGAUUUAUGUAUGUGUAUGUGUGGUGAGUGUAUAUAUACAUAUAUAUGUAUACAUGUGUUCACAACAUUCUGAUAUAAAGGAUAUGUCAGAUUUAUAUGUUCCUUGAUUUAGAGAAAAAAGGUUGAUGACUUAUUUUUUCUGUUUUCUAAUUUAUUGGGAAAUACUAUAUAUGUACAUUUAACAAUAGAUCAAGGGAAAAAAUGAAAGAAUGCCUUCAUCUUGGUGUGCAUAUUCACACGCUAUUCAAAACCACCCCACUUCCCUUUUUCCUCUUUGCUGCACUGAUGCUUCUGAGCACUCUGCUAAUGUUAUAGAUACCCAGGAUUGAAAACACAGACUUUGGAGAUCUGGACUUGAAUCCUCUCUCUGCCACUUGCUUGGGCAAGAUUCUUAGCCUCCCUGAGCCUCAUUUUCCUCCUAUGGAAAGUGGAAGACCGUCAUAAUGGCCAGCAUGGUGGUGGCAUGAGGAUUACAUGGAAUGCCAUAUCUGAAGUGCAGGUACAGCACCUGGUAUGUAGGACGCACCCAGUGAGGUGUAGCUCUUACUAGCAGCCGUGAUCAUAGUUGAAGUGAUGUAAUUGUAAACUUGGUGAUGGUGGCAAGAAAAAGGCCACUAACAUUCACCCUUCAAUGUGCACUGAGCUAGUAGCAUUGUGUCAUGGAUGCUUAUUGAGCCCGUGCAGCUAAUACAAGGUAAGCUGAAGGACAACCCAGAGGAAAAUAUAAUUGAGAAAAUACAUGACUACUUUCAAACAUUUACAGUGACCCAGAAGUAUAAGUGGGAGGAAUCAUGAAUGAUUUACAUAGAGGAUCCACAUCUCAGAUACUUAUGGAUUACUUAAGAUAACAGACUCUGUACUGGGCAUUGAGGACAGAAAGAUACAUAAGACAAGGUCCUGUCUUCCAGUCUUUCCCACUCCUCUGUGUGUGUGUGUGUGUGUGUGUGUAUUUGCGUCUGUGUAUCCGUAUUGGGGUGGUGAGAGCCAGAGAAGAAAACUUGAUGGAUGAGACCAUAACAGAUGAACUCACCUCCCUGGGUGAUGUCCAAGGCUGGUUCCAUGCUUUCACCCCAAAGAGUUCAUAAUGAAAUGGAGAGGAUGGAUAACUCAAGCUCCACCUGACCUCCUAGAAGAAUGCUGUCCAACAGUGAGCCGCAUAGGUAAUUUUAAAUUUUCUACUAGCCAAAUUAAAAAGUAGAAACAGGUGAAAUUAAUUUUAAUAACAUCCUUUGUUUAACCAAAUAUAUCUAAAACAUAGAAUCAAUAUACAAUUCUUAAUGGGAUAUUUAUUUUAUUUUUUGAAUUACAUCUUUGAAAAGUGAUGUGCAUUUUACAAUCAGAUUUCAUCUCUAUGUAGACAAGCCACAUUUCAAGGGCUCGAUAGGUACCUGUGGUUAGUGUCUACCUUAAGGGACAGGGUAGUUGUAGAGCUCUGCUACUCAAAGUGUGGUUCUUGGCUCACAGCCUCACAGCGCAGAUAUGCUCUAUGUCCUUUCCACCCCUCCUACAUUGGAAUUUGCAUUUUAGCAAGAUCCAUGGUGAGCCCUCAGAGUUGUGGGAGGGGCUGUCUGAUGACUUGAAAAUCUCAUUUGAGGAAACUACACACCCUCCCUUCUAGUCAUAUUUGUGCAGUACAUUUCCUUAUCGUAGAUUAGGUAAACCAUCUUAUCAUAGUUGGACCAAAGGUAGAGUUCAGUUUAGCCCUUAUUGGAACCAGUGGGAUAUAGUUGGGUUUUUCCUAGUCGGAAGGUUGAGCUAUUUGGCAGAAAAUGAAGGAAAGACAGGACAAAGAAGAGAUACGAGUGUUUAUUCAACCACAGAACAAAUGACAUCACCAUUCUCAUUGGAGCUCUUCUUUUCUGACAUAUGUUUUGAAAGGGAGAGAGGAGGGAGGAAGGGAAGAGAGUGAGAGCUUCCAAAUUCAUGAGGUAUUUGUUAUGUCAGAGUUCUUCCCCCAGGGUUAGCCUCAUGAGCACAUGAGCUUGGAAGGGCCUGGCACUUGGAUUAAUGCUCUGCCGUUGCAGUGUUGAAAUUCUCGACAAUUGGGUCCUGCAUGUCUGCUUUAUACCGAGCCCUGAAAAUUAUGUAGCUUGUCCUGCCUCCCCUGAAAGUUCACUUACUACUAUCCACCUGCAGGUGUAAGAGAGUCACACUGGAUUAGAGGGAGAUUUGGACAUGGAAAGGGAUGGCAAGAAGUGAAAUGACUGGACAAAUAAAGAGUAUGAAAUGAUCUGGCAAUUAUUAACCUGGGGAAGCGAAGAGUGAAAGAAGAAGCUAUCGAGCCACAUGUUAUCUCUGUAAAUGGUGAAGUGACUCACCUUAGGGCUCACCGGGAACAGGAAGAUGUCAUUUCUCUCUUGCCUCCAAAUGGUCAAUCUCCAGGGCCUGGAACGUGCGCUUCAGCUCGUGGAUGUCACCUUGUCUGCUCUGCACGGCAGCUGGACUGGCUGCCUCCUGGGACAUGGCUGCAGACUGUAGGACCAAGCAAGGCAAAGACAUCAGCAUUGGGACCUCAUGGAAAUGCAACCUUUGGGAAGUUUGUGCAUCUUUCUUUUACCUGUUCUUUAUACCAAGUGUCCAAGUCUCGAUGCUUCUUCUUUAUUAUAAGCUCAUAUUCCUGUCUCAUAUCCUCCAGGACCUUAAUCAGAUCUUCCUUGGGACCUGUAUCCACCUUCACAUUGACACUGAAGUCCCUUGGCACAUGAUGCUUCUCCAUUUCCUGUUUAAUAACAGAGAAAGGAAAUGAACUGGGUUUGAUAAUCUGAAGGCUGGAUUGCCAUGUUGAUUGGCAGUGGUCAAUGGAUCUUUUAAACAUUCUGAUUAUGUGGUUGCUCCACUGUGGCUGGUUUGGUUUCUCAAAUGUUACUUGUUGAUGAUAAAACAUUGUAUACUUUUAUCUCUAAUAAUUUUAUAAACUAAAGAAUAUCUUUGAGACCAACCUGACCAGCAUGGUGAAACCCCAUCUUUACUAAAAAUACAAAAAAUUAGCUGGGUGUGGUGGUGCAUGCCUGUAAU